rnacentral:sRNA from 1 species
UAGUUUCUAACAGUGUUGGGUUCCGCU